rnacentral:lncRNA from 1 species
UUUAACUGUAUUUUCAGACCAACCUUUAAAUUGAGGAUUAAUACCUCGUUGAAUUGUUCCUGCAAAAUCAUGAGUUUCCAUCAUGUUGAAAGGUUGUUUUGCUCUUAUUAUAUAAUCAAUCAUUUCUUCACGACAGUUAGAUUCAUCAUAAGAAAAUGUUUUUAAAUUUCCACUUUCAUUUUUACCUAAUUGCAUAUAAUUUCUAAUAUCUACAUUAUUUUUAGUUUUACAAUUUUCAUGAUGUCUUUUUAAAUGACUUGUGCCUGCAUUUGAGCCACCAGUAAGAAAUUUAUUACAAAUUUUA